rnacentral:rRNA from 1 species
AGUGAACGCUGGCGGCAGGCCUAACACAUGCAAGUCGAGCGGCAGCGGGUUCCCGCGAGGGGAUGCCGGCGAGCGGCGGACGGGUGAGGAACACAUCGGAAUCUGCCUGGUUGUGGGGGAUAACGUAGGGAAACUUACGCUAAUACCGCAUGCGACCCUGAGUCGACGGACUGGGGGUGAAAGUGAGGGACCUUCGGGCCUCACGCGACCAGAUGAGCCGAUGUCGGAUUAGCUAGUUGGCGGGGUAACGGCCCGCCAAGGCGACGAUCCGUAGCUGGUCUGAGAGGAUGAUCAGCCACACUGGGACUGAGACACGGCCCAGACUCCUACGGGAGGCAGCAGUGGGGAAUCUUGGACAAUGGGCGCAAG